AUUAAGCGGGAAUAAACUUAACGAACCCAAACGCUGGGUGUGAAAGAAAAGAAAAAAAAUACCUCUACUAAGAUAAGGUUUGCAAAGGCCGAACUCAUUUUCGCGCUAUCCAAAAUUUCAAUCCCACAACAUCGUUGGCCAUGGUAUAGGUUGCUAGUUUAAUGAAGGGCAGCCAUUCUGACGAACAUUGACACAAGGAGUAACACAGAGGAGAGAGCAAAAAGAUUCCUUUGCUUCUGGGACUGCAUGAUUGUUACAAGCAGCAGAACCCAUUGUCAUUGCCUCUGAUGCCCUUUCUAUUAGUUCUUUCAAAUUUUCCAUUUUAUCGUCUCCGCCAGCCUCUCAAAUUCGCUACCGCUGCCCUUCCGUCCGAUCGUUGAAUCUCAAUCGCCAUCAUGUCUCGCGCAAGCACUUGUGUUACAUGUCAGGGAGAAUGCUCAACUGUCGAAACUGAUCAUCUGGUGCCAAUCAUUCAGCUCAAAUCAGAUAUUCUCCCCACUGAAUCUCUGAGCUUAUUGACUGAGGGCACAUAUGCAGAUAGUCUUUUGACAGCAUUACCUGUUUUAUCAGAAGAGGAACAACAAGCCCUUUCAGCGACUCCAGCCCACCCAUCUGGAUUAUAUGGUUUCUUCACCAAAUUUGCUACAAUUGUUGGAGGUCCAAUGGUUGGCAAAGCUAUGGAUCAUGUGCCCAGAGUACAAGCAAAUAAUUUCUUGAAUAUUGCCCAUGCAAGUUGUUUGAUAAGAAAAUUACCAUCAGAGAUAUGGUUCUUUCUUAAAAAGGAUUUAAUUUCUAGCAUUUAAUAAAUUGUCAGGCCUCUGCCCACUUAUUAUCUGCAAUGAUGAUCAUCCAUGCCCAUUUUGCCCAUCCUACUUUAGUGUCUUCUCUGCUUUUAAAUCCAUGGUUUGUCACACUAAUGUCAGCAGGGGCUAUUGAGAGACUAUGUGGUGUAGCUUUAGGGGUUGCAAAUGAGCGAGACUGGGUGAUGCUGUGAGCAGGAGUGAAUAGGCCAAUCGCACUUGUGCAGGGGAAUGCUAUUCUGAAUCAAAUUGAUCUCUUGUGUGAGAUAGUUGUCACAUCAAUAUCCGGAGUCCUUCUUUCUAUAUUCCAUCCAGUGACCUGUUUGAAAAUUGCUGCUGGCUUAAUUACAGGACUGUUGCCUGUUACGAUUGCUCUCGCACGAUUGGCCAACAUGCUUUCAACAGGUGUUCUUGACCGGCCUAAAUCUUCACAAACCUAUUCAAAACAUCCACUGAAGAACCUGAGCCACGUCAUGACAACAUAGGGGUACAAGCAAUCAAGCUAGGUUCGAAGGAGUAUCUGGAACGGCCAGUUCUUCCAGCAAGUCUUGCCUGUGUGCUGCUUUACUUCAAUGUCGUGCUUACUCCUGGAAAUUUCAUGACAGCAUUUUUAACCCAACACGGAAAAUGGAGGGGAAAGAAAGGUAAGUGACAAGUCAAUUUAAACAUUUUGUUUUAUUUAGAAUUAAUAAAGUCUAUGCCAUAUCAACAGGCCUACACCCAUCUGUCAUUGGAGGAUUUAGUGGACUGUGCUUUGAUGGGUGUUGCAGCUACAUUUGUUUCUUCAACACUGGUCAAGCAAUUUGGUCUUUUGGAAGGCUGGAGCAGUUGGAUUGGUGUUUCAAGCUUUACUUCUUAGCAUGAUAUAUUAUCACAGUUUGGAAACGUGUCAUAUGAAGUGUGGAGAUGCAGAUUCUUCAAACAGGGAACCCCUCGUCCGACGCAAAUCUCAUUGGGGCAACAGAGGUUGCUGAUGCUAGUUUUGCGGAGUGUGCAAUUCUGGGAGCUGCAAUAAUUGCAAAUGAUGUUCCAAAUUUUGGAAUUCUGGCAGUGUUUCUCUUGCAUCAGUGGUUGCUGCAGCUUGGAUAUUUUGCAGAUGGUUGCUGAAUCGAACAGAUGACGGAAAAGCCUUUUCACCUGUGAUCCCCACUUAUGAUAUUUAUGGAGUUGUUCCGUUCGACAAGAACACGAGCCAAAAUACAUACUUGAAUUUAUUUGACAUCGCGGAAUGAGGAGGGCUGAGGAAUCUUUUCUCCUCACCAAGUUACGUUUAUUGCUAAUGAAUAUACGGGCUUGCUUGUAAAUGUGACACUCCUUGGUAUUGUAUCCCACGGCACAUUGUACCAAAUUUGGGGGGGGGGGGGAAUAUUACAAGCAAGCCCGUAUACGUGCAUGUGUAUGACUACUUAAGAUAGGUCCAACAUACAUAGUCCCGUAUGCGUGUCGUGAUUCUAGUGCAGGAGGCUAAUGACCAAGCGGUCUAAAUACGAAAAAAUAGAAUGUAUGGACAUUGAGAUGCUGAAAUGGAGAUUGUAGGGAUUGUAAUAGAAGAGCAGUAGAUGAUGGCGUGACGCAAGGCCACGCUGGGUCUCUUUGGUCAUGGUCCUU